GAAGAGACUGUGAGGGGGCGGGAGGAAAAAACGUGAGACGUACAUUGGGAGAGUAGCGCAGAAGGGUGGACGGAGAGGUGCUCUGGAAGCUGAACCAGGUUUUAAGAAGCCAAGUUUCUGUUGACUGGAUUUAUUCAGUACAUCUUAUGUUUUGCCUUGUUAGCUGUGUGUAGUUAACGACUGCAGAGGCACAGAUGUUGUUUUUUGUCUGAGUGAGAAAAAACGGAGAUUCUGUGUGAGCGGGUUCAAGCUAACCGCUAAAGCUAACGGCUAAGCUAACGGCUAAGCUACGACCGGCGAGCCUCGUCGCGGGCUGAAUGGACUUUGAACUGGACAGACGGAGGUGCUUCUGGAUGAGGAGUUACCUGGAUGAGGAGUUACCUGGAUGAGGAGUUACCUGCCGCUCCUCUGACCGUUUCUUUUUCUGAGACAUUGGAUUAUUCGUCGGCUGGCUGCUGACUUUUCAGACACCGAACUGUGAACGCCACGACAUGGAUUCUGCUAACGGCUAACUGUGAGUUUGCUGACCGGAGAUCAACGCUGCUGCGGGGAUUUCGUGGGCUGCUUCCUGUGAUCAUCGUGGGUUUUCUACUCUGCACCUGGACUACGGCGAACAGCUGGAGAUCGACACACAGCUGCUUCUGAGCCUCCUGGAAUACGCGGGAGUACAAGAAGAUCAUCACCACCAGCGGCAGAUGGAUGGGCAGGAAGGAGAUGAGGGAGGCCACAACCCAAACCCCGAGCACCACUGCAAAGGCCCGACCCCUGGUCAGCAGCAAGAGACAACAGAGGGCACACAAAUGAAGAACCAACAGAUGAGCAUGUCGGGCUGAAGUGGGCCUGUGGACAGACUGAGUUUGCUCCGGUUCGUCCAUGAGGCUUGAAAAACAUUUCGACUUCAGACGCUGUUCGGCGCUCUAGCACCAUGUGGAGGAUCCCUUCCUUCCCGGUAAAACACACCGGCAGCCCCUGAGUCUGUGAAACACCCCAGAAACUCAGCAGCAUCCAGCAUUUCAGCCCUGACACCGGAGCGCACAGGCACGCAGCGGUCCGCCGGAGCGCACUGACCGGGAAGCGGACGUGGGCGGGAUGGACGCACCGAACCAGAGAACCGCAGGGGUCGUUGGGGUGGGAGAGGCAGGAGCUGGAGGCGUGAGGAGGGGCAGUAAACCGUCAGUUUCCAUUUAAUUCCUUCCUUUUACGCAGCGCGGAGAGGUACAGUAGUCCGCCGCCUGACUGUAAUCGGCUCGCCGGGAGGAGCAGGGAAAGCCCUUCCCAGGCUGAGCCGGAAUGAGGGAGGGAGAGUUUUAAGUAGGACAGGGACCGAGAGAGUUGAAAAGAGCGCUUUGUCAUAUUUGGAGCUUUUGUACUGCUGCUGGAGGCUUAAAUGAACUGACUGAUACGGACUCCAAAGGGCGACUCUCAUUCAAGCUGCUGGAAUUCCACUUGGCAUCAUGAGCGGACCAACAAAUGCAGUUCAGUACCAGUCAGGUCUUUAUGGAGGAAACAACAACAGCAGCUCUCCGCUCUCCAGCCGUGGAAACUCGCCCAUCGUGUGUGAGCGCUGUGGGGAGGUUUGUCGUGGGGAAGUGGUGCGAGUCAAGAACACGCACUUCCAUGUUCACUGCUUCACUUGCCAAGUUUGCAGCUGUGACUUGGUGCACUCGGGUUUCUUCCACCACUCUGGCGAAUACAUCUGUACAGAGGACUACCAGCGGCUCUAUGGCACCCAGUGUGACAGCUGUGAUCAGUACAUCACUGGGGAGGUUGUAUCUGCUCUGGGGAGGACGUACCACCCACACUGCUUUGUCUGCAGCAUCUGCAAGAGUCCGUUCCCAAUUGGAGACAGGGUGACCUUCUGCGGGAAAAAGUGUGUGUGUCAGCAGUGCUCGCACUCUCUGAACAGCGACAAGCCCGUCAAGGUCCACGGACCGAGCUACUGUGCCGGCUGUGGCGAGGAGAUCAAACAGGGUCAGUCUCUGCUGGCUCUGGAGAGGCAGUGGCACGUCAGUUGCUUUAAAUGCCGGACGUGCGGCUGUGCGCUCACUGGAGAGUACAUCAGCAAAGAUGGGAUUCCUUACUGUGAGACCGACUACCACACUCAGUUCGGGAUCAGGUGUGAGGGCUGUAACAGGUACAUCAGCGGCAGAGUUCUGGAGGCUGGAGGGAAGCACUACCACCCCAGCUGUGCCAGGUGUGCCCGCUGUCACAUGAUGUUCCUGGAGGGAGAGGAAAUGUACCUCACAGGUUCAGAGGUUUGGCACCCCAUGUGUAAAGAAGCAGCUCGGCUGGAGAGAAAACUGAGGCUGAGACGAACCUCUGAGACGGCAUCCAUCUCUCCUCCAGGCUCGUCUCCUCUCCUCGGCUCUCCCCACCGGCUCAUCUGUUCCAAGGCUGACAGUGAUGCUUUGGACUAUAAGCACCUGGCGGCUCUGCCCAGGGUCAAAGCCAUAUAUGACAUCCAGCGGCCCGACAUCAUCCCUUAUCAGGCCGAUCAUGCACACACACACCUCUCAGACGACACUUUGGAGAGGUACAGCUGUGGACAGUCACUGGGCUCCUUAUCGCCGUACUCUCAUGAUCUCUUGGAUGGCAUGGAUUUGAGAACGAGGCGUUCCUCCAGCUCUGCCUUCACCGACUCCCCUGCACACAGUCGCCACGGAGGCUCCCCACUGCAUUAUUAUCUCCCUGGCAGUGAGAGUGGCAGGAGUUCACCCUAUUACAGUCAGCCCGAGCCCAGGUGUGCUACACCCACCACCACCACCUUCCAAGCCCCCAAGCAUUUCCAUGUGCCAGCUUCUGCGGAAACCAACAUCUACAGGAAACCCCCCAUCUAUAAGAGACAAGACAUAUCUGCCUCUCCGACAGUCAAUAAGACAAAGACCAAUGAGAACCUUCUCAAUACCAGUCGGCUUUCCACCUCAAACUGUAACAGCAUUUACCACCCAGAAUCCAACUACUAUCCAUAUUCUGGAUCUCCAAAAGUCUCCAGGGUGAGGAGAUUCUCAUCUGGAGGAGAGGAGGAUGGAUGGAAUCAUAACAUAAACAGGGGAAUUGGCAGGAUGAUCCUGAAGGAGGAGAUGAAGGCACGAUCAGGUUGUCACGACAAUGACCAGUGGGGAAGCAGACGCAGUUCUCGCUGUAGCAGCAAGGAGACGCUGAACAAUCUGGGCUACGGCUCCCUCAAUGGAUCUCCCAGGUCCGUCUAUAGUGCAGACAGCGACUCGUACAUUGCCAAAUCGGCCUCGUUGCCAGGCUAUGGGAGAAAUGGACUAAACAGGCAGCCCGGCAGCGCAAGUGCAGAUUAUUACCAGUAUGACAGCAGUAAUGCAGUUAAUUGGCAGAUCAGAGAAUACAAGGUAAGAUGCAGAUGCCAGAGCUAGAGAACUGUUGCUGAGCCAAGAGUGAAAGGUCUGGAUCAAUGAAGACAGAUAAGAAUGAUGUGUUACUGAAUCCAUCUCCUUCAGCAACACCCACUUUGUAAAGCUGACUGACUCAUUUUAUCGACAGCGAAACGAAACAAACACUUCACAAACAAGCACCCCUUUAUAGUAGAAACAGAUUAUUUUUUUUAUUUCUAAUCUUUUCAAUAUUAAGAAAAGGAGGAAAACAAGAACCAUAUCAACCCACAAAUGAGAUUUUUCUUUAUCUUGCAUAGACAGAUCUCUCUCCACAGUGCUUUGUCAACAGUGGAGCAUGGUUUUUCUUUAUCUUUUCCUCUAAAGUCAUGAAACAGACACAUUUUCCUUUUUUUAAUAAAUUUUUUUCCACUGUUUCUACAUUUGGCCACUAGAGGGAGACAACACUUUUAAAAAUGAUCUACCUGUCUAGUGCUGUUGCACGCAAAUCUAAACCACAUUACCUAUAUUUUAUAACACUGAGGAAACAAACCUCUGAACUGAAUUCACAUGUUGGUUAAAGCCUCCAAUGUGCAUUAUGAUAGAAAAGGCUUAUAAAAAUGUCAGCUGUAAAUGUAAAUAUGAAGUCACAGAUAGAUAUGUGUUAGUAGUAUUUUUCUCUCGCUCCAUCAGAUCUACCCAUACGAAGCCCUGGUGGUGUCAGUCAGAGGGCAGAAGCGUCUCCCCAGCGAUGUGGACCGAGCCAGACUUGAGCGUCACCUCUCACCAGAAGAGUUUUACAGAGUCUUCGGCAUGUCCAUGUCCUCUUUUGACCGUCUUGCUCAGUGGAAGAAGAACGAACUGAAGAAACAGGUCAGACUUUUCUGAGAAAUCAGCAGAACCGUCUGACUGAGUGCCGAUCCACCACUAACAGUGUAGCUUCCAAUAAGGGUUUACUGACCCCAGCUCGAGUGUGCGUCUCAGUGGAGGCCUGAGAACUGAACAAAAUAAAUGUUUUUCUUCCCUUGAGGUGGCAGAAAGAAAAGAACUGUUGGCUGCCUCUUCUUGGCCGCUGUAGAACUACUUAAGCAAUAUGGAGGAAGUCAGCCAAAUGGGCCAAACUGGGGGGAAACCUAAUGAGUGGAAGAAGACUGGAGGGAGAGCAGAGAGCUGCACUGGGACGAUAAUUCCCUACCAGCAGAUGGCAGUGUGUUGACAUGAGCAGUGUGGUCGCUGCUCUGCUGAAGUACUUUGAACCAAAUGGAGGGUCUGCCACACUUACAGUGAGGAAGAUGGUUUGUGAAGCAAAUCUGGUUGGAAGACAGCAGACGUUACCCAGUCAGACAGACGCUGCCCUCAGCAACUCAUAAUCUGACAGGACAAGUGAAGAUGUGAUCCUCAUCAGUAGGGUUACUGAACAUGAUAUAAUGUGCAAACACUGACAACCCAAAGUUUUCUCUCGCUUUCGAUGUCAGUUUAUUCUGAAGCCAUAUCAGUGUUGAUACUUCUUUUCUACGACAUGAGCAGACUGUACGGUUCACUGACGCGUGUUUUGGAAUAUAAUGUGAAUGAACUGUGUCGCAGCUCGGCGCUUGGAGCUGUUAAACAAGUUUAGAAAUGGGAAGGACUGGCACUGCACACUUGAAAACAUGAUAACUGUGCUCCACUUAUUUCAUUUGAAGAAAUUAAAGUUUUGGUCUAUUCAGAUUUGCAGCUGCACUCGAGAAACAUCACUGAAUUUCAGCUGCUGGAUUACAAUUAAACCACCAGACUGAAUCAUGUUUACGCAAUUAAUCUGUGUGUGUGUGUGUAAUUACAGCAAAUGACUAAUAGAAAGAUUUUUAUGAGUGAAUAUUUAGAAGGGAUCUGAAUAAAGGGAAGGAUUAUGAUGUAAAAAAAAAGUGAAAUGGCAAGAAGGGGAGGAAUGUGCGAAGGGAUAAACAAAGAGAGUUGACAGGUGUCACAAAAGGAAAAUUAAAGAUCUAUGUUUGUGAUAAACAGGUAAGACAUAUCGUCUAAGCUGAAAUGGAUUUAAUAGAAGGUGAAAUGAACAAGAUGUGUUUGCUCAUAUGCAGGAGUGUUUUAACUGAGUGUAAAAGUUGGAAUAAUGUGCUGUUUUUACAGUGACUGAAACCAUGCGGAGUGUGCUUGUGAGUAUUGUAUGUGUGUGUGUUUACAAUUUGCCACAAUAAAUCACAUUUACCACAUUCAGUGUUUACGGAACUACAAACUAACUUAUUUUUUGAUUUAUCGGAGUUCCCAUUUAUCAUUUAAAGCCCCAUUUCUGUCACUCCAGCUUCUGAAUAAACGAUGCAAUGAA